CAGCCGCCGCGGUAAUACGUAGGGUGCAAGCGUUAAUCGGAAUUACUGGGCGUAAAGCGUGCGCAGGCGGUUCGUUAAGACAGAUGUGAAAUCCCCGGGCUUAACCUGGAAGCUGCAUUUGUGACUGGCGGGCUAGAGUAUGGCAGAGGGAGGUAGAAUUCCACGUGUAGCAGUGAAAUGCGUAGAGAUGUGGAGGAAUACCGAUGGCGAAGGCAGCCCCCUGGGCCAAUACUGACGCUCAUGCACGAAAGCGUGGGGAGCAAACAGGAUUAGAUACCCCCGUAGUCCCUGUCUCUUAUAC
rnacentral:rRNA from 1 species